CCUUCUAUCACUGGGAGGUCAUCCCGUUGCUCAAAACCCUCCAGUGGUUUCAAGGCACCUGUUCCUUCUACAUGGACUGCUCCUCUCCUGAUACUUCUGUGGCUGACCCUUUCCUUUCAGUCACAUCUCAGUUAAUGCAUGAAUUUCCUAGCAAGGUCUUUUAGGAGAAUCCAAUCCACAGUUCCACCUCAGGGUUCAGGACCCGCUCCUCCAAAAUAGGGCACUUUGACAUCCUGAGCAUUUCCAGCUGCAGGAAUUUGAGAAAUGGCCUGGACUGGAAAGACUGGCUGACCCUGAAGCAGGUCAUCAAACUCUCCUGUGGGAGGAACCCUCCCUAUUCCAGGAGGAAAGGAGCAUCCGUAUCUCCAAAGCCAGAGGGACACAGACCGGGAUCUCGACGAAUGGGCCUUGCCAAGUUCCCCCAGUUCACUGCACUCAGCCCAUCAUGUCCUCCACGACUUUCCACUCUUCAUCAAACCUAGUAUCACAACACUCAUGUUUAACCAUUUCUCCAGGUCUUCAUUUUUUGAGGACUCGCGUGUCACAUAAAACCUGUAUUAAAUAAAUCCGUAUGCGUU